UGGGGAAUAUUGCACAAUGGGCGGAAGCCUGAUGCAGCGACGCCGCGUGGGGGAUGAAGGCCUUCGGGUUGUAAACUCCUUUCGACAGGGACGAAGCUUUUGUGACGGUACCUGUAUAAGAAGCACCGGCUAACUACGUGCCAGCAGCCGCGGUAAUACGUAGGGUGCGAGCGUUGUCCGGAAUUACUGGGCGUAAAGAGCUCGUAGGUGGUUUGUCGCGUCGUCUGUGAAAUUCCGGGGCUUAACUCCGGGCGUGCAGGCGAUACGGGCUGACUUGAGUGCUGUAGGGGAGACUGGAAUUCCUGGUAUAGCGGUGAAAUGCGCAGAUAUCAGGAGGAACACCGAUGGAGAAGGCAGGUCUCUGGGCAGAAACUGACGCUGAGGAGCGAAAGCAUGGGUAGCGAACAGG
rnacentral:rRNA from 1 species